GUCCCGGGGUGAAUGGUCGCUCCGGCGUUCUUUACAUCCCAAGGGUGCGGUCGAAAACCGCGCCCCGUUUAAGAUCAUCGUCGGAGAGGAAAGUCCGGACACCGCAGGGCAGGACGCCACCCGAGGUCGAAAGGCCAAGUGUGGACGGCGAGCUUCAAGGCUCGUUGAUGGACAGUGUCACAGAGAAUAUACCGCCGCGCGGGCAACCGCGAGGUAAGGGUGAAAAGGUGGGGUAAGAGCCCACCGCGCCGCGCCGCAAGGCCGGCGGCAUGAAAAACCCCGUCCGGUGCAAGGCAAAAUAGGUGACUGGGCGGCUCGUCCUAUAGUCACGGGUAUGCCGCAUCCGCCGGCCUCAGGUUGUGAGCAAUCAUGACUCGAUGACCGGUAGACAGGUCCGCCGCAAGGCGGGCGUUGAGAGAAAUGACCAUGAUCCGCCGUCGCAGGACGGCGGGGAGACAUAAUCCGGCUUACAGCCCCGGGAUCAGC
rnacentral:RNase_P_RNA from 2 species